UACAUAGGGGGCAAGCGUUGUCCGGAAUUAUUGGGCGUAAAGCGCGCGCAGGCGGUUCUUUAAGUCUUGUAUCUAAGUUCGGGGCUCCACCCCGUGAACGACCAGAAACUGGGGGACUUGAGUGCAGAAGAGGAGAGCGGAAUUCCACGGGUAGCGGUGAAAUGCGUAGAGAUGUGGAGGAACACCAGUGGCGAAGGCGGCUCUCUGGCCUGUAACUGACGCUGAGGCGCGAAAGCGUGGGGAGCAAACAGG
rnacentral:rRNA from 1 species